rnacentral:rRNA from 1 species
AUUGAACGCUGGCGGCAGGCCUAACACAUGCAAGUCGAACGGUAACAGGAAGACGCUUGCUUCUUUGCUGACGAGUGGCGGACGGGUGAGUAAUGUCUGGGAAACUGCCUGAUGGAGGGGGAUAACUACUGGAAACGGUAGCUAAUACCGCAUAACGUCGCAAGACCAAAGAGGGGGACCUUCGGGCCUCUUGCCAUCGGAUGUGCCCAGAUGGGAUUAGCUAGUAGGUGGGGUAACGGCUCACCUAGGCGACGAUCCGUAGCUGGUCUGAGAGGAUGACCAGCCACACUGGAACUGAGACACGGUCCAGACUCCUACGGGAGGCAGCAGUGGGGAAUAUUGCACAAUGGGCGAAAGCCUGAUGCAGCCAUGCCGCGUGUAUGAAGAAGGCCUUCGGGUUGUAAAGUACUUUCAGCGGGGAGGAAGGGAGUAAAGUUAAUACCUAUGCUCAUUGACGUUACCCGCAGAAGAAGCACCGGCUAACUCCGUG